UACGUAGGUGGCAAGCGUUUGUCCGGAAUUACUGGGCGUAAAGCGUGCGCAGGCGGUUGUGCAAGACAGAUGUGAAAUCCCCGGGCUCAACCUGGGAAUUGCAUUUGUGACUGCACGGCUAGAGUGUGUCAGAGGGGGGUAGAAUUCCACGUGUAGCAGUGAAAUGCGUAGAGAUGUGGAGGAAUACCGAUGGCGAAGGCAGCCUCCUGGGCCAACACUGACGCUCAUGCACGAAAGCGUGGGGAGCAAACAGG
rnacentral:rRNA from 1 species